GACGAACGCUGGCGGCGUGCUUAACACAUGCAAGUCGAACGGAAAGGCCCAGCUUGCUGGGUACUCGAGUGGCGAACGGGUGAGUAACACGUGGGUGAUCUGCCCUGCACUCUGGGAUAAGCCUGGGAAACUGGGUCUAAUACCGGAUAUGACCAACUGUCGCAUGGUGGUUGGUGGAAAGCUUUUGCGGUGUGGGAUGGGCCCGCGGCCUAUCAGCUUGUUGGUGGGGUAAUGGCCUACCAAGGCGACGACGGGUAGCCGACCUGAGAGGGUGAUCGGCCACACUGGGACUGAGACACGGCCCAGACUCCUACGGGAGGCAGCAGUGGGGAAGUAAUUGCACAAUAGGGCGGCAAGACCUGAUGCAGCGACGCCGCGUGAGGGAUGACGGCCUCGGUUGUAACGUACUUCUACCUACGGACGGAAGAC
rnacentral:rRNA from 1 species